rnacentral:rRNA from 1 species
UUAAAUUGAAGAGUUUGAUCAUGGCUCAGAUUGAACGCUGGCGGCAGGCCUAACACAUGCAAGUCGAACGGUAACAGGAAUCAGCUUGCUGUUUUGCUGACGAGUGGCGGAC